rnacentral:rRNA from 1 species
AUACGGGGGGUGCAAGCGUUACUCGGAAUCACUGGGCGUAAAGCGCGCGCAGGCGGCUUGAUAAGUUGGAUGUGAAAGCCUACGGCUCAACCGUAGAACUGCAUCCAAAACUGUCAAGCUAGAGUCUGGGAGGGGAAGAUGGAAUUAGUUGUGUAGGGGUAAAAUCCGUAGAGAUAACUAGGAAUACCAAAAGCGAAGGCGAUCUUCUGGAACAGUACUGACGCUGAGGCGCGAAAGCGUGGGGAGCAAACAGGAUUAGAAACCCCAGUAGUCC